rnacentral:rRNA from 1 species
UACAACUUUCAGCAACGGAUCUCUUGCGUCUCGCAUCGAUGAAGAACGCAGCGAAUUGCGAUAAGUAAUGUGAAUUGCAGAUUUUCAGUGAAUCAUCGAAUCUUGAACGCACCUGUCGC